rnacentral:lncRNA from 1 species
UAAAUGAGUUAAAUCUUGUUCCAUAAAAUCCAGCAAACUAUAUAUAUAGCCUCUUUUAUUCAACUUCCUGAUCAAUCCAGACUUUGAGCUCCUACCUUACAAGUAAACGUAAUAUAAUAUUUUUGGCUUGACACAAGUAAACAUGAUAUAUGUGCACGAGAUGAUUGCACCACCUCUAUGACUUGGUAUUAUAUCAUUUGUUGCUUCUUGAGAAGAAAUUUUCAAUGGUAGGCAUGAUCUUUGGAGGACGCAUGCUGAGGAACUUGCCGUGAGAUUUGUUAAUUCUGCAAAAGUUGGCAGAGGUUUGUCUUCUCAAUGUCUUUUCUUAUAUGAUACAAUACUGCUCUUCUUUUUCAAAAAAAAAAAAUAGAUGCAAUGAUUUUAUUUUCGCAAGCGAGCAAACAACCUUUUAACCUAAUUAAUGUGCCAUUUCAUUAUGUGGGUUUGUAUGCUUAUUUCUUUUUCUUUAUUUUUUUUCUAAGAAAACUUGGCUAUGUUGGUUUUGUUCUGAAGUAAAUUGAAAUUCUUUUACACGUACCAUAUCAUGGAUCAUGAAUAGAUGAUCCCCUCCGGACUUUGGUAAUCAUUUGUUGUUACAUCUCUGAUCAACUGCAUGCAAAUAUCUCGUCAACAAGUUUUGGAUGGUGAACAAAACAAUCAUGAGCUUUGCAAAAUAAGUUUGGCUAACGCUCUGUGAAGUUAUAAGUUAAAAUAUUGGAUAAAAAUAAAUCUUUAAGAUAUAAUUUAGACUUUUCAAAUUAUAAGGUACAAUUGUUAUUUACCCCUAUUCUUAAAAGGUUUUGUGUAAUUUCCUCUUUACUUUGUUGUUCCUCAAGAGUUUUAUUUAAGAUUGCACUCAGUUAAGGACAGCAAGUAUUCCUUACCAAAAACAGGACAGCAAGUAGAACAACUUCUGGUACAGCAAGCUGCAUUCCAUCUGUCUUUGCUGAGGAAACUAGCAAUUGGGAGUACAAUAUUGUUACUAGUUUGUUUUGGCGUGGAAAGCCAUGGUUUUCAGAGGACGAUAUUGCUUUGUUUUCGUGUAUACGCCAAGGAAAUGAUUUGAGUGAGCAUGUAAAAUAAUCAUAUGCAAAUUCAUAUGGAUAAAUGACCGACUUUGUAUUUAGAUAAUUUUUUGAGCAUGAUUAGCCUGCUAUUUGAUCCUGGGUGGACUGAAGAAGCUUCUAAAGCCUCUCUCUGUGUGAUAACCUAAUUUUUUUUUUUUGCCGAAUGAAUCUUAAAGCAGCUAAAAAAAAAUUUAAAGAAAAAAGAGUCCAAAAUGAUGACUUCCGAUGGGAGUCUUCUUCUUCCUCAAAUUCGGCUAAGAACUGAACUCCUAAGGCUAUCAAAAUCUUAAGAAUCCCUCUAUAAAAUCCUCUCAUCCCCCCUUAAGCUAUCCAAGAUGAUCAUCGGCCUUCCUCCCUCUCCUCUCUCCUUGGUUUCUCCCAUUGAAGCCGUGGAUACUCUUAUCGAGCCCGCUGGAAAUCAGAGGCGAAGAUCCAUAACCAAGGUAAAAACCCUGACCCUUCUUCCUCUCUUCCUUCUCCUUCUUCCCAUGCCAUUGCGCAUGACUGUCAACCAUCAAAAUCGCCAGAACAGCCACCAAAAUAGAUGCCCUAUUUUUUUCCUAUUUGGCCGAGAAUUUUAUUCCUUUUUCCAACCACCGACAUUGCCGUCCAUAGUGCCGCACCCAUGUAUCAUGAUCCUUGACAUUCCUACCAUCUAUUAUCGAGGUCAUGACCAUCGAUGAUCGGCCAAUAACUGAAAAAAUGAAAAUGAAAGGGACAGAUCCUCUAUUUUUUGGAUGUGCCCCAUGAUUCCUGCUGUUCGGCCCUUGCCGCCAAUCGUUUCCCACUCCACCACCAUCAGCUGCUUGCGGCCACCGUCCCCCAUCGAUCUGCCGACCAAGCACCCCUACCCCUUUCCUCUUCUACUCGGUCAAGAAAAGAAGAAGAGAAAAAGAAGAAGAAGAAGAAAAAGAAAGGAAAAGAGGAAAAAAAAACAAGAGAGAAAAAAGAUUUUCUUUCUCUUGUCUCUCUCUCUCCUUAUCUCUAGAGUUUCUCUCUCCACCUACUCUUUUUCUCUCUCUAUUUGAUCCAUGAUCUCUAGUACAGAUUUGAGAUGAAAACAAGAUAAUCGAGGGACCGCUUUGAUAUCCAUGUAAUUUAUCGGAUCCUAGUCCAGCCCUUGUCAAAAAUUUAUAACAUCUGAUCAUAGUUAACCCCUAUUGAGUUCCUCUAAUAUAACCUCUGAUGAUCUUAAUCAUAGAUUCCUCUUUUAAAGAAUACAAAGAGUGUCUGUCCAUUUUCUCUCUCUACUUUCUCUUUCUAAAAAAAUCUAGGGACUUCAGUAUCGGAUCAUACCUUCUUCUAAGGACCCGUAUUGACCCAAUAAGAAGACUUCGAACCGCUUUAGUAUACGGAUAAUCUAUCGAAUCGAUCACUUAGUCAACCACCUUCUUUUAUUAUUAUUUAAUUUUACUAAUUGAAAAAAAAUUGAUUAUGCUUCAAUAUUUUAAAUAAGAUUAUCUGAUUCAUCUAGGGUAAAUAAGAUAUAUGGAUCUUAUGCUCUUUAUUUAUUUUUAAAUUAUCAUAUUUUUUAUGUAAAUAAUCUGUUGCUGAUAAAAUCAUAUUUUUUAUAAAAUAAAGAUCAGCAUAUAUGAUAUGAAAAAGCAUAUUAUAUUAUGAUCAUUGAUUCUAUGAAUAUGUUUUAUAAAAAUAGUAUAUUUAUGAAGCAUAAAUUUUAUUAUUUUUCUUCUAUAUAUAUAUGUAUAUUUUAAGAAAAAGAUAUAAAAAUUUCAAAGAUUCUUGGGUAACUAUGAAUGAAUUUUUAUGGGAAGGUCGAUACCCAGAGCUAGCUCCAUAAGAACAUAAUCCCUACCGGUGGAUAUAAAGUUAGCAUAUGAAACAAAAACUUAUCGAUUAAGAAUACUGACCUUGUCACGAAUAUAAAGUGAUCAUAGCAUAAAUAUCUAUGAAUAAGAUUUUGAAACAUGACAUGGGCACAUGACAAGAAUAAUUUAUGAAAUAUGUUUACGAAAUAUUCAUGAUUUAUACAUCUGUGAUUGAUUUAUGACUUAUUUUAUUAUAUAUUUUAUAAAAUAUUUAUUUUAUUAUUAUCUNNNNNNNNNNNNNNNNNNNNGAUCUGAUAAGAAGUAUAAGUUCUAUUUACUGAGUUAGCGUAGCUCAUAUCUUUUUAUUUAUUUUUUUAUAGAGGAAUAAAGUUAGGACCGAUGAAGGAUUCAGGCUUGAAGAUCUAUGUAGCAAGUUUAGAGAUUUUAUAGCUGAACUUAGUCUAUUAAGUAAUCAUAGCUUUGUAUUUGACUAUUUGUGAAUUUUGAGUUAUGGGUUUUGUAUUUGAUCUUAGAUUUAGAUGCUUUGGAGUAAUAUUGGUUUAAUUAUUUGAUAAAUAAUAGAAUUAAAUUUUUUAUUAUAUUUUAUUUGUGAUAGAUUUUAGUUGAUUAUGAUUGAGUAACUUCAUAUUAUCAUGGGCUGUACCCCUCGAUAGCAUGAUAGUGUUAUGUCCCAGAUUUAGGAUGUAGUAUUUAAUGGUAUCAGGGCAAUAAGUUUGAUCAUGGAUAGACUUAAAAAUCUAGCGAUGGGUAGUUAGAUCUCAUUUAGCUAGAUCAUAUUUAAUUGAAUAAGAUUAAAUAAUUUUUUUUAAAGUUUCUAUUGCUCGUUUAAGGAAGCUAAUUAAUGCUAGUAUUUUUGAUAGAUGAUGAUGAGCAACAGAAGAGAUGAAGUCUUAGCAAAUCCUAUCACUAGAAAGAGAGGAGCAAGAAGGACUACGAGAAAAAAUACCAACCAGUCAGUUGAGCAGGCUCCUAAUGCGCCAGCUAUUUAGGCAGACAUUGUUGGAGUUUGUGAAGUAGUGGCUCAGCUUAUUUAGCGACAACAACAUACAGAAGCCACUCUUUGACCUGCACCAUGCAUCUUUAGAGUCAUAUUAUGAGAGGUUUAAAGACUUAACCCACUAUUGUUUGAGGAUGGACCCGACCUUUUGGUUGCGGAGAUCUGGAUUUGAAAAAUAGAAAAGAUGUUCGAUGCACUUCAGUAUCCUAAGAAUGUGGGCAUUAGGUUAGCAUUCCCAUGUUAAAAGAAAAUAUGGAGUUUUGGUGGACUACAAUAAAGGCUGCAUUUGGAGAUAAUGAUAAUCAGUUGACAUGGAAGGAGUUCAAGAAAAUAUUUUAUGAUCAAUAUCUUUUCGAGUCAAUGAAAUUAGUAAAAGAGAAUGAAUUCUUGGCUUUAAGGCAAAAAGAUGAUAUAAUAGUAUUGGAAUAUGCAAAUAAAUUCAAUGAGUUAGGCCAUUUCUGCCCCCAUCUCAUGAAGUCCAAAAAGAGCAAAACUAACAAAUUUGAAUAAGGUUUAAGAAAUAAGAUUCAAUCUCAUUUAUCUUCUUAUCUUUUUAAUGAUUAUAAAGAUGUACUAGAAUGAGCUUUGAAAGUAGAAUCCAAAAUAAAAAGAUCGAAACAAGAGAGGAGUAAUAAAAAAAGAUCGAGACCAGCAGAAUUUCUAAAUGAUGGACAAAAAAAUUUUAUACAUAAUAAUAAAGAAGCUGUGACCAACAAAUAUUGUGGUAAAUAUCAUUAUGGAUCCUGUCUUAAAAAAUUGUGAGCAUGCUUUUCAUGCAGCAGAGUAGGACAUAUGGCACGGGAUUGUGCCAUUAAAAAAAAGAAUAGUUCAAAAAUUUCUAAACCAACAUAUCAGAAACAACAAGAAAAUACGUGAAUGUUUGCUUUGACCCAGCAGGAUGCUAGUGCAAGAAACCAAAUAGUUACAAAUACCAUUCUAGUCAACCCAUAGAUACUCAUAUGCUAUUUGAUUAUGAAUUUUUCUUAUUUCUUUACAUCUUCUAAGUUUAACUAUAUAUCAGUAGAAUUGAAUAAGACACUAUAUGUUAUCUCUUCUCUUAAGAAAGUUAUUAUCAUCAGUGUUUUGUUUAAAAAUUUCGUCAUUCUAGAUGAAGAAGUUAGGAUUGAUGAAAACUAGUCAAAGUAUGGUGAAGAUAAUAUAAAGACAAAGUAUCCUCAUUUAUUUGAAAAUGAAGGUACAUCAAAUUUCAAGGACGAAACUUUUUUAAAGAGGGUAGAACAUGAUAACCUAAUUUUUUUACCACAAGAAUCCUAAAGCAACUAAAAAAAUAAUUAAAAAAAAGAGCUUGAGAUGAAGACUCCCGAUGGGAGUCUUCUUCUCCCUCGAAUCCGGCUAAGAACCAAACUCCUAGGGCUACCAAAACUCUAGGAAUCCCUUUAUAAAAUUUUCUCAUCCCCUUCUUAAGCUAGCCAUUAUGAUCACUGGCCUUCUUCCCUCUCCUCUCUCCUUGGUUUCUCCCAUUGAAGCCGUGGAUACUCUUAUCAUGCCCACUGAAAAUCAGAGGCGAAGACCCAUCAGAACCUAGGUAAAAAGUUCUGGCCCUUCUUCCUCUCUACCUUCCCCUUCUUCCCAAGCCAUUGCAUAUGGCCGCCGAUCGUCGGAAUUGCUAGAAAAGCCACCAAAAUAGAUACUCUAUUUUUUUCUUAUUUGGUUAAGAACUUUAUUCCCUUUUCAGCCACCAAUACUGCCACCCGUGGUGCCACACCCAUGCAUCAUGACCCCUAACCUCCUUACCAUCCAUUAUUGAGAUCAUGGCCGUCGGUGAUCAGUCAAUGAUCGAAAAGAUAAAAAUAAAAGGGGUAGAUCCCCUAUCUUUUAGAUGUGACCCAUGAUUCCUACCGUUCGGCCCUUGCUGUCGGUCAUCUCUCACUCGCCGCCAUUGGUUGCUUGCGACCACCGUCCGCUCAUCGGUCUGCCGGCCAAGAACCCCUACCCCUUUCCUCUCCUGUUCGGUCAAGAAAAGAAGAAGAAAAGAAAAGAAAAGGAAAAGAAAAAAAGAGAAAAAAAAUUCUCUCUCCCUAUCUCUCUUGGGUUUCUGUCUCCACCCACUCUCUUUCUCUCUAUCUGAUCCAUGAUCUCCAAUAUGGACUUGAGAUGAAAACAAGAUGACCGAGGACCACUUUGAUUUUUGUGCAGUUUAUCGAAUUCUAGUCCAAUCCUUAUCAGAAAUUCAUAGUAUCUGAUCAUAGUUAACUUUAUUCAGUCCCCCUGACAUAACCUCUGAUGAUCUUGAUCAUAAAAUUUUUUUUGAGGAAUACAAAAAUUUUUUAUCCACUUUCUCUCUCUAUUUUCUCUUUCUAAAAAAAAUCUAAGAACUUCAGUAUCAAGUCUACCUUCUUCUUCUAUGGAUCCGUAUGGACCCAACAAGAGGACCCCAAACCGCUUUAGUAUCUGGAUAGUCUAUCGGACCGAUCAUCUAGUCAACCAGCUUCUUUUAUUAUUAUUUAACUUUAUUAAUUAAAAAAAUUGAUUAUGAUUCAAUAUUUUAAAUAGGAUUAUCUCAUUCAUCUAAUGAAGUCUAAAGAUCUAGGGCAAAUGAAGUAAGUGGAUCUUAUACUCUUUAUUUAUUUUUAAAUUAUCAUGUUUUCACGUAAAUAAUCUAUUGUUAAUGAAAUCAUAUUUUUCAUAAAAUAAAGAUCAGCAUAGGUGAUAUGAUAAAUCAUGUUUUAUUAUGAUCAUUGAUUCUAUGAAUAUAUUUUAUAAAAGUAAUAUAUUUAUGAAGCAUAAAUUUUAUUAUUUUUUAUCUAUGUAUAUGUAUAUUUUAAGAAAAAGAUAUAAAGAUUUCAAAGACUCUUAAGUGGCUAUGAAUGAUCCCUAUGAGAAUAUCAACGUCCAGAGCUAACUCCAUAAGAAUACAGGCCUUGCCAGCGGGUGUAAAGUUGGCAUACGAAAUAAGAAUUUGUUGAUUAAAGAUCCUGGCUCUAUCAUGGGUAUAAAGUGAUUAUAGCACAAAUAUCUGUGCGCAAGAUUUUGAAAUAUGAUAUAAACAUAUGAUAAGAAUAAUUUACAAAAUACGUAUACGAAAUAUUCAUGAUUUAUGCAUACAUGAUUGGUUUAUGACUUAUUUUAUUAUAUGCUCUAUGAAAUAUUUAUUUUUGUAAUAUCUAUUACUUUUUAAAUAUUGUAUUAUCAUGCAAAAAUUUAUGCUUGAUCUGGUAAGGAAGCAUAGAUUUUACUUAUUGAGCUAGUGUAGUGUAUAUCUUUUUAUUUAUUUUUUUUACAAAGGAAUAAGGUUAGGACCGAUGAAGAAUUUAGGCUUGGAGAUCUACGUAGCAAGCUUAGAAAUUUUAUAGCUGAACUUAGUCUAUUAAGUAAUCAUAGAUUUGUAUUUGAUUAUUUAUGAAUUUUGAGUUAUGGGUUUGAUAUAAGAUCUUGGAUUUAAAUGUUCUAAAUCAAUAUUGAUUUAAUUAUUUGAUGAAUAAUGAAAUUGAAUCUUUUAUUAUGUUUUAUUUGCGAUGGAUUUUAAUUGAUUAUAAUUGAUUGAUUUUGUGUUAUCGUGGGUUGUAUCCCUCAAUAGCAUGAUCGUAUUAUAUUCUGGAUUUGGGGUGUUAUACUCUGGCUACUCAUCUUUUCUCCCACUGAACACAUUAGAUGAGCUUGGACACGCCAGCAGCAUUGAAGCCAUGAUGAAUCUACUGUAGCAUGAGUAGUGCAUGGGUCGAUCCACUAACCAUAGCCUAAAUUGAGCAAAUUGGUUCUAAAUAUGAACCAUUAGCAUGACCAGAUUGAUUGCUGAAAGUAGUUCUCGCCUAAAUCUUUAUUUGAAGCAAAUUAUCAAAUAAAUAGCCAUAUACUGAUGCAAGAAGUGGAUGCGAACAGCUCUGAUCACCUUUUUGUUUAUUUUGAAAAUAUAAAUUUAUAAAAUGGUGGGCUUAUUUUAUAAUCCAGCUGAGCUUAAGCCAAGCUCUAGCUCAGCUCGCUUACCAUCUACGUAAGCUGAACUCAAGCCAAAUUUCGAGUUAAACUUCAGCUAGUCCAUGAACACCUUGAUCAUUUGACGUCCCUAUUUCUAUCCUGCAUGGAGAUUUGGGAUGUUAACUUAGCAUUUUUUUAUUUUUUUCUGAAAAGGAACAUCCAUGAGAUUUCUAUAUCUAAACUCUAAGAAAGAGACUGUGAUUAAGUUAUGUUGAGACUUAUUAAAAAAGUAUAAAGAGACAACAUUUUCUACUCCCAUGUUUAUCAUGUGAGGAGAACAUAUUGGCUGACGAUGAAGAGUUCUCAUUAUAUACAUUAAAAGAUUCGCAAAUUAACAUUUAUAGAUUCUUAUGUAUAGGCAUGCUUGUACAUCUAAUUAUCAACCAGAGUGAACCAGUCUUUUAGGCUUAUAAACUACUGGUCCAAACUUGUUUUCAAUGUGCCCCAUAGCUCCAAAGCAAGUGGCUUGAUCCAACCCAACUAAAAACGAGCACAAGCACCUCAUGGUCUAGGCUAGUCUAAUAUCCGAUUAUUGGGGUGGUCCAGGCUGCAGGCCUUGUAUUCAAUCAUCCCAAGUCCCCACAUAAAACUCGUUUCUGAAGCAAAUGUGGUGGCAACAUGUUAUCUCAGGUCAGAGUCAUGAGAUCAGGUCAAGUUAGAAUUAUUUUGCUUGCAAACUUGACUUUUAUUUUGUCAUAAACCUCAUCAUAUUUUGUUCUGCUUCUUUUCAUGGGAAUGAAUAUUGAGAGAAGAGAAUUUGACAUGGAUGUCUUUAUAAGUUUCGAACCUACAAAAUUUUAUGAACUAAGAAAUUUUUAGUUGACACUAAAAGUAUGAACUUUUAUACUUUUGCAACAGCAAAGGUCUUAAGUUCCACUUUUUAAAAAAUAAAAAAAGGAAAAGAGGAGACUAGAUCCACCUGUCUUCAUAACCUCCAUCGUAAAGAAACAAAAUCAUAAGUUGAGUCAAAAUAGAUGAGAGCAUCAUGAUGCACAAUGUGUGAUAAGGCGGCGACAAUUACAAACAUUGGUUCAAUCAAUUCUGACUUCUUUAAUCGUUCAAAAUGGCAGUAGUGUCCGAUCCCUUGGAACAAAAGAUGGGUUAAGAUUGUUCGACUGCUGCUCUGCGCCGGUCGAUAUGGAGGGACAGAAACCGUAAUGAAUUCAGACAGUUUAGUCAGAGUGCUACUUGCUGAUUGAUAUGUUCUACUAUGCCAUAGAAAUAAAUAAGCAGUAACUUAAAAAUAUGUUCUAGCAUGACAGAGAGUGUGAGCAAUAAAUUAUGUAAUCGAAUUGCUGAUUAGUUAUUAAUCAUGAAUCUCUAACUUUUCUACAUCUAUUAAAAUACAUAACAUUCAGAUCACAAUAUCGUUAAACAAAUAAAUAUCUGAUGCUAAUCAUAGUAAUAUAACAGAAGGAAGCUGGAAAAAAAAAUCACCUUGUACUACAAGUAGAAAUAUAAUUCCCAUUUCAUUGAUAGCCCCACAGAAUCUUCAAACAAAAGCAAUGUAAAUUGCUCUCUUCAGGGACUAGGCAGUUGAUCAAAGAGCAACUAUCUGAUAAAUAGUUUGAGACACAUUGAAGACAGGACAACAAAAUAAUCACUAAGAAAUAUAUAUAGAAGCAUCCCCAGCAUCUUAUUACUUUUCAUCUUCCUCUCAUGGAUGCUAGUAGCAAACCAUAGCAUAAUCAGAAUAAGUGGGCACAAGUUUUCUUAAAUUCAGUCCAUUGCAUUACCUCCAAACUACAGGCAGAAAAUAUUCAUGGCUCAAAAGCUUGUAGAAGAUGUAUACCUGAUCACCUUUAGCUUUAUAGAAUAUAAUAUUUUGUCUGAGAGCUGACCAGCACUAGAGAACAGGCUGGCCAGACCUGAAAGGGGAAGAAAAACAUGGCAUGGUAUGUAGGAACUCAGUUGAGAAGUAACCUUCAGAUGGGGACUGUCUACUUGCUGCCAACUCCACCUCCUUUGUGAAUUAUAUAAUAAUAUUAAUAAAAGAAUAGAAGGUCUUCCUUCAAGAUCAAAACUCCAUGUGAAAGAAAUUCGAAGAGAUCUGUGCUUCCAUUAGAGAAAAAGAAAAAUCAUUCAAGCACACUUUCCUUUUCUUAAAAUUUUGUAAAAGAUUUCCGUCACCCUCUGAUGACCAAACUACCC